rnacentral:rRNA from 1 species
UACAGAGGUCUCAAGCGUUGUUCGGAUUCAUUGGGCGUAAAGGGUGCGUAGGCGGCGGGGCAAGUCAGGUGUGAAAUCCCGGAGCUCAACUCCGGAACUGCACUUGAUACUGCCUUGCUAGAGUACUGGAGAGGAGACUGGAAUUUACGGUGUAGCAGUGAAAUGCGUAGAUAUCGUAAGGAAGACCAGUGGCGAAGACGAGUCUCUGGACAGUUACUGACGCUGAGGCACGAAGGCCAGGGGAGCAAACGGG